rnacentral:rRNA from 1 species
CCUACGGGAGGCAGCAGUGGGGAAUAUUGCACAAUGGGGGAAACCCUGAUGCAGCGAAGCCGCGUGAGGGAAGAAGUAUUUCGGUAUGUAAAGCUCUAUCAGCAGGGAAGAAGAAAGACGGUACCUGACUAAGAAGCCCCGGCUAACUACGUGCCAGCAGCCGCGGUAAUACGGAGGGAGCAAGCGUUAUCCGGAUUUACUGGGUGUAAAGGGAGCGUAGACGGCUGUGCAAGUCUGAAGUGAAAGCCCAGGGCUCAACCCUGGGACUGCUUUUGAAACUGUGGAGCUUGAGUGCGGGAGAGGUACGUGGAAUGCCUAGUGUAGCGGUGAAAUGCGUAGAUAUUAGGAGGAACACCAGUGGCGAAGGCGGCUUACUGGACAGUAACUGACGUUGAGGCUCGAAAGCGUGGGGAGCGAACAGGAUUAGAUACCCGAGUAGUC